rnacentral:piRNA from 1 species
UGGCCACAAUCUACCUCACUCUUAUCA